rnacentral:rRNA from 1 species
CCCCUAGAUGUUCUGGGCCGCACGCGCGCUACACUGAACAGUUCAACAAGUCUUAACCUUGGCCGAUAGGUCUGGGUAAUCUUUGAACGCUGUUCGUGAUUGGGAUAGACCUUUGCAAUUAUGGGUCUUCAACGAGGAAUUCCUAGUAAACGCAAGUCAUCAGCUUGCAUUGAUUACGUCCCUGCCCUUUGUACACACCGCCCGUCGCUCCUACCGAUUGAAUGAUCCGAUGAAUAUCAUGGACUGAGAGUGUUAGAGUUUUCGGACUUCUACACUUCUCGGGAAGUGAAGUGAAUCUUAUCAUUUAGAGGAAGGAGAAGUCGUAACA